UCCUAAGAGACCAUGGACUGCCUGUG
rnacentral:piRNA from 1 species